AAGGAUAGAUUCUCAAGCAGGGAUAUGAAUGAGUACGCAAAGAUGAUGGCAAGUAAACGGAUUGUUAAGAUUGCAUAUUUGACGGGAAAUGCUUUAGCAAGAUCAAUAAGUAUGUUUCAUCUCAGAUCCUUUAUUGAUUUUCUCAAGAAAAUUUUAAUGGCAAAGAAAGCACUGUGUUUCAUGGAUUAAUGUUCAAUAUGGGAUUUGUAUGGUUUUCG
rnacentral:lncRNA from 1 species